GAUGAACGCUGGCGGCGUGCCUAACACAUGCAAGUCGAGCGAUUCUCUUCGGAGAAGAGCGGCGGACGGGUGAGUAACGCGUGGGUAACCUGCCCUGUACACACGGAUAACAUACCGAAAGGUAUGCUAAUACGAGAUAAUACGCUUUUAACGCAUGGUAGAAGUACCAAAGCUUUUGCGGUACAGGAUGGACCCGCGUCUGAUUAGCUAGUUGGUAAGGUAACGGCUUACCAAGGCGACGAUCAGUAGCCGACCUGGGAGGGUGAUCGGCCACAUUGGAACUGAGACACGGUCCAAACUCCUACGGGAGGCAGCAGUGGGGAAUAUUGCACAAUGGGCGAAAGCCUGAUGCAGCAACGCCGCGUGAGCGAUGAAGGCCUUCGGGUCGUAAAGCUCUGUCCUCAAGGAAGAUAAUGACGGUACUUGAGGAGGAAGCCCCGGCUAACUACGUGCCAGCCGCCGCGGUAA
rnacentral:rRNA from 1 species